rnacentral:tRNA from 1 species
GUAUGAAAAGCGAAUAAUGUUGCAUAUGGUUUCGGCCCGUAUUUUAGAGGUUUGAGUCCUCUUUCAUAUU